rnacentral:tRNA from 1 species
AGUUGCUGUAAUGCUCAAUUGGCAGAGCAGCGGAUUCCGCCAACACCAAAAAUCAGCGUGUGUUGGGAGUUCGAAUCUCUCCACUCCUGCCA